UACGUAGGGUGCAAGCGUUAAUCGGAAUUACUGGGCGUAAAGCGUGCGCAGGCGGCUUUGCAAGACAGAUGUGAAAUCCCCGGGCUUAACCUGGGAACUGCAUUUGUGACUGCAUGGCUGGAGUGCGGCAGAGGGGGAUGGAAUUCCGCGUGUAGCAGUGAAUGCGUAGAUAUGCGGAGGAACACCGAUGGCGAAGGCAGUCCCCUGGGCCUGCACUGACGCUCAUGCACGAAGCGUGGGGAGCAAACAGG
rnacentral:rRNA from 1 species